UCAUAUAGACUCAAAGCGCUUUACAGGAAAGUCAUAUUCACCCAUUCACACACAUUCAUACAGCACUGCUAUUUACCACGCAUUUCUGUCACAGUCAUACUGUCUGUCCUACAGUCUGUCUGUCUGUCUCUAUGUCUGUCUGUCCUACAGUCUCUGUCCUACAGUCUGUCUAUCUCUCUGUCCUACUGUCUCUCUGUCCUACUGUCUGUCUGUCUGUCCUACAGUCUGUCUGUCCUACUGUCUGUCUGUCCUACAGUCUCUGUCCUACUCUCUGUCUGUCUGUUCUACUGUCUCUCUGUCUGUCUGUCCUACUGUCUGUCUGUCCUACAGUCUCUGUCCUACUCUGUCUGUCUGUCCUACUGUCUCUCUGUCCUACUGUCUGUCUGUCAGUCUUUCCUACUGUCUGUCUGUCCUACAGUCUCUGUCCUACUGUCUGUCUUUCUGUCCUACUGUCUGUCUGUCUGUCUGUCCUACUGUCUGUCCUACAGUCUGUCUGCCCUACUUUCUGUCUGUCCUAGAGUCUCUGUCCUUCUGUCUGUCCUACUGUCUGUCUGUCCUACAGUCUCUGUCCUACUCUCUGUCUGUCAGUCCUACUGUCUGUCUGUCCUACUGUUUCUGUCCUACUGUUUGUCUGUCCUACAGUCUGUCUGUCCUACUGUCUCUCUGUCCUACUGUCUGUCUGUCAGUCUUUCCUACUGUCUGUCUGUCCUACUGUCUGUCUUACAGUCUCUGACCUACUGUCUGUCCUACUGUCUCUCUGUCUGUCCUACAGUCUGUCUUUCCUACUGUCUCUGUCUCUCUCUCUGUCUUACUGCCUGUCUGUCCUACUGUCUCUCUGUCCGUCCUACUGUCUUUCUCUGUCUGUCCUACUGUCUCUCUGUCCGUCCUACUGCCUGUCUGUCCUACUGUCUCUCUGUCUGUCCUACUGUCUCUCUGUCCUACUGCCUGUCUGUCCUACUGUCUUUCUCUGUCUGUCCUACUGUCUGUCUGUCCUACUGUCUGUCUGUCCUACUGUCUUUCUCUGUCUGUCCUACUGUCUGUCUGUCCUACUGUCUGUCUGUCUGUCCUACUUUUAUAUUUUAUGUUCUAAGUUUUCAAUCUUUUUAUUUUCCUUAUUUUAUGAGUUUGACAGUUUUCUUCUUUCACAGAUUUUAUUAUCUGUUUGUUUCACUGGUUUAA
rnacentral:lncRNA from 1 species